GAUAGUGGUUAAUGAAGGCUAAUCUAUUUUUAUAAUCCAACAAUUUUCCUUUCAUUGUUACAAACUAAUUUCCUAUACACAAUAACAUGCAGCCUUAAUGUGCAAAUAGAUAACUUUCAUCAAAUUUACACCAAGUUUGUCUUAGACAUAAUAAUAUAGGAGUUAUCCAUUAAGGAAGUACGGUGUGUGCUAUACACAGAUUCGUACACCAGUUUUCAAUAAUUUUCUCCAUUUCUUUUCCCUUAACAAAGGCAAGUUUAAGUGUGCUGCUACCUAAAGAUUAGGUAGUCGUUGAAGUGUCUAUUUAAAGAGUGGAAAAAGUAUUACAAUGAAAUAAAAUUAUAUACUGGUCUUGAAGAAGAUUUCGGUAGGAAAAUAAUUUCAACUCGUUGUUCGAUCACCCAAGGGAAAUUAAUUAUCUAUAGCUGGCUAUUCAAGCCUAUAUUCAAGGAUGACCUCCGUGAAAGCCAUUGGGAUGUGGCUGAUCUUAUUUCUUGAUUUUAUCGUACUAGAUCGUUGGCCGAACAUGGAAAUUAUAAGAAAUGUUUGUGCACUUGUAAUUUUGAUCUUUUAAUUAAAAAAAGUCAAUACAAUAGAUGUAAGUGUAUCGACUACAAGAGGAUUAACUUUAUUUAGCAUUAAUGGUAAUAUUCAAAGUUGUGAA